GGCUGAGAAAUAUCUGUCUUGACAUUGGUCAUCUACUCUUCACAGAGGUAGUUUGGCUGAUCUUGUUGGCUAGGCUGGUGUCCCCUUCCUUCUCCACAUUUCAUCUAUACCCAUCUAGAAGCAAUGUGUGCAAAGUUGAAAAGGACCUCCAACGGCCAAAAUAGGACAGGUCUGCACUUGAUGUAGAGGAGUAUCUCUAUACCCCUGCUAGUACUUCCAGACAAGCUCUCAAGGUUGAACUUUACAAUGGAAGAAACUCUGUUUUAGUUCCUUGUCUUGUGAUUUUUCUACACAACCAA
rnacentral:snRNA from 1 species